rnacentral:rRNA from 1 species
UACAGAGGGUGCGAGCGUUAAUCGGAAUUACUGGGCGUAAAGCGCACGUAGGUGGCGACGUAAGUCGGGUGUGAAAGCCCCGGGCUCAACCUGGGAAUUGCAUUCGAGACUGUGUCGCUGGAGUACGGAAGAGGAAGGCGGAAUUCCCGGUGUAGCGGUGAAAUGCGUAAAUAUAUAGAGGAACACCAAUUGGCGAAGGCAGUUAGCUAUUCGGCUCCUGACGUUGAGGCACGAAAGCGUGGGGAGCAAGACGG